CUGGUUGAUCCUGCCAGUAGUCAUAUGCUUGUCUCAAAGAUUAAGCCAAGCAUGUCUAAGUAUAAGCUUUUAUACGGUGAAACUGGCAGACGGCUCAUUAAAACAGUUAUGGUUUACUUGAUGGUUCCUUGCUACAUGGAUAACCGUAGUAAUUCUAGAGCUAAUACAUGCCGAAAGGCCCUUUUCUGGGUCGGGUUUAUUAGAUCAAAGCCAAACGCCCCCCUGGGGUGCUCCUUGGUGAAUCAUAGUAACCUGUCUGAUCGCCUGGCUUCAAGCCUGGCGACGUUUCAUACAAAUUUCUGCCCUAUCAGCUUUUGACGGUACGUAUUGGCCUACCGUGGCAUUAACGGGUAACGGAAGAAUUAGGGUUCGGUUCCGGAGAGGGAGCCCUGAGAAACGGCUACCCAUUCUAAGGAAGGCAGCAGGCGCGCAAAUUACCCAAUCCUGACACAG
rnacentral:rRNA from 1 species